UCCUACGGGAGGCAGCAGUGGGGAAUAUUGGACAAUGGGGGGAACCCUGAUCCAGCCAUGCCGCGUGUGUGAAGAAGGCCUUUUGGUUGUAAAGCACUUUAAGCGAGGAGGAGGCUACCGAGAUUAAUACUCUUGGAUAGUGGACGUUACUCGCAGAAUAAGCACCGGCUAACUCUGUGCCAGCAGGCGCGGUAAUA
rnacentral:rRNA from 1 species